rnacentral:rRNA from 1 species
GACGAACGCUGGCGGCGUGCCUAAUACAUGCAAGUCGAACGCAGUGGGGACGGGUGAGUAACACGUGGGUAACCUCCCAUCAGAGGGGAUAACACUUGGAAACAGGUGCUAAACCGAUACUGAUGGAUGAACCAGCGGUGCAUUAGCUAGUUGGUGAGGUAACGGCGCACCAAGGCCACGAGGCUUAGCCGACCUGAGAGUGGUAUCGGACACACUGGAAAUGAGACACGGCCCAGACUCCUACGGGAGGCAGCAGUAGGGAAUCUUCGGCAAUGGACGAAAGUCUGACCGAGCAACGCCGCGUGAGUGAAGAAGGUUUUCGGAUCGUAAAGCUCUGUUGUUAGAGAGGCGGUAUCUGACCAGAAAGCCACGGCUAACUACGUGCCAGCAGCCGCGGUAAUUC